AAAGUGGGCAAUAGUUGGCGUACAACUGACAACAUAACGGAUACAUGGAAAAGCAUGACAGACAUUGCUGAUAAGAACAACAAGUGGGCAUCAUAUGUUGGACCUGGUGGUUGGAAUGACCCAGAUAUGCUGGAAGUAGGCAAUGGUGGCAUGACCUUAGCAGAGUAUCGAUCACAUUUUAGCAUAUGGGCUCUCAUGAAGG